AUACCUCAGAAAUACCACUUGGCCAUUUCUCAGAAGGACUUAUUUCUCCUUUACUUCUUUCUCCAGGCAUCAAAAUGGGCUCCAUGGAACAUCUUUUGCAUGGGAGGCGGCCAGUGAUGACAGCAAGCUUUAUCCAUCACAAAACUGAUGAAUAGGGUCAAGGUGAUCCUUCUCUCUGCACUGAAGAGUGAGAGAAACCUUUGAUAAAACCCAAACAGAGAGAUCUCCACCAUUUCCUUCUGUCAUAUGUUGACCUCUGCAUCCCUCAGUACCACUGGGAUGGUAUUGUGCACCCCACAGACCCAAAGAAGAGCAGUGACAUAGCUGGAGAGGAGGAGCAGCGUCUGUUGUUACAAGGUGGUUGAUAAAAUUAAUUGUACAGCUGCAAGAAUACUUUUAUAUCAUGAUUACUAGAGCCACCCAAGGGUCUGUAAAUGAGAGCUAAAGAGCAUAAUGAGAAAACCCAGCUACAUUUGACCUGGCAUUGAACCACCACAUGCACCAGUCUUGCACAGUGCUACGGGGGAAGAGUUUGGUGUCAUUUGCCAUGAAGCUUUAUAAAUGCCUCAGGCAUCCUUGAGAAUUCUGGGAAUCCAAAAGCCCAGACAGCAAGAAAGUCUGAAUUUAACAAAAGGAGAAUUAAAGGAGAUCCAAAACAGUCAGUAACUGCUGUAAAGAUUCUGUUUUAUGGUCAAGUUGUGCAACUACUAUUAUCAACCAGCUAUGGGCAUCAGUAGGAGACUGCAGUAUUGCCAUCAGGUGGGUUAGUCUUAAUUACAAGGUGCUUAUUCAGUCUAAGGAAAAUACACUGCAGAUUAGUCACUGGCACCCAAAAUGGCAUAAUUAAUUGGAGUAAUUUAUUAAGACAAAUAGAGGGUCACAGCUAAGCAUGGUGCUUAGAGUUAAUUUACAGUUAACAAGGGUGCUCAUUUAGCCUGCUAACAGAAUGCAUCUAUGUUGAGAAAGGAUUUCAUCAUGCUUUCAAGAAGAGCAGAUACUGAGUUUUCUCUAGUGCUCUCAUGCUAUGUGACCUCACUGGUAUAAAUGUGUUUGCAGUAUGGAAGGACUCAUUCCUUUGUCCAGGUAAGAUUAAAAUGGUCUUUCUGAGCUAAAUUUUUCCUCAGCUGACUGUCUCUAAUAAUCAAAGUGCAGUAAAAACAUACUUUAAUUUUUUUUUGUCUUGCAUUUCCUGAAUCUUCUAUAUGCUUACAAUCAGUGCUGAUCCUCAACUAGUUUGUAAGAUAUUUCUCAUGAGAUCAUAUGUUGUUUAUGUACAGUCCCAACUCAAUCCAAAAGUGGUACUAUAAACCAAGCCAAAAUACUUUCUUGGGAAGUUGUGCUGAUUGAAGUUGAAGUGUUGGUGCUGCUGUUGGCUCGUCGUUACUCCACACUACCUGCAAAUUGGGUGGAGAACACCUUCAGCUGAGCCUUUUAAUUGCUCCAUUAAAAAUGAUAUGGGAGCAGCCCCUAAUCUCUUCUCAUAGAGACUUUCCAUGCAGCCCCUCACUGCCAAAACCUCACCGUAUAAACACAAUGCAACAGCAUUUUGGUAGUCCUGUCUCAAGAUUCUGAGUCCUUGAAGUUACACAGGUCUGUGGAUGCCAGCAGCUCUGCAAUAGCAAGCCAUGGCUAUGCAUUCAGGACUGUUUGCCUGAGUUUUACUGUUUUCCAUCUUAAAUGCUGAAGUCGGUCCCCAGAAGAAAUAAGCAGCUUGCCAGAGACUGAACAGAAAGGCACAGACUACACAGAGGAAGACGUGGGGAGUGGUGACUCCCAAGAUGUAUUCAUCAGUUGGCAGAUUGCUCUGGCCUACCAGCAAGCACCACAAGGAGAAUUAGCUACUUAAAUGAGAUGUUUUUAGAGGGACUUUUUUUUAGCAACGUUCUCUUCUGUUUGUUUGGUAGAGGAAAGCAUGGGAUAUUAGCCAGAAUUCUAUAUAUUCCUACAAAGGCCAAAUGUUAUUCAAGCAUCAUGACUAAUAAGAGCAGGAUUUAGCCAUGCAUGUUUGUUCUGUGGUCUUUUAAAGCCCUGGUUCUGUGCUCUACACUAUUCGAUUCUGAACUGGGGGAUGCUCCCCAUUUCCUAACAGGCAAGGUAUAUUCACGUGAGAAGCUCUAAAGCUCAAUGAAUUCAUUAAUUAGGAAAGGCUGGAGGAGAGAGGCCUUCAUCUAGCUCUCUUGCUGAAUUCUUGCAAGAAAAAUGUUCAGCCUCAAGUAUAUUUAAAUUUUUACUGCCAGGUUAAACCCUUGCACAAAAAAAAAUCUUACAAUGGAACUGCUGACAGGUCCUUAACUAUAGUAGCAGUCGCAGUCUCUGCCAUAAUAAAGAUAUUGCAUGUUAUCAAUAAUCCUCUUUCUGCUUGAAUCCCUGUCUUUCUAAAGAGAAAGGGCUUACUGACUGGGCAAAUCUAUUUAUAAAUUUUGUCUUGGCACAAGAAGAACUACACUGACAAUGCAGUGGUGAUCUGGGGAGGCAGCUGGUCUGAUUGCACACAAGCAGCAAGCUGAGUGUCAAAGCAGGGCUCUUAAAUUUUCUCUCAUUCCUCUAAAAGAGUGGGGCGAAUCAGGAAAAAAAAAAUGCGUUCUUUGAACAAGAUAGAUCAGAAAAGUUACAAGAGAUUGAGUAAACUGUCACACUUGGCACACUGAAGGGCUUUCACAUACUGCUCACCAUUGCAUGGAGUCAUAUGAACUGGGGGCUGGUGUGUGUGUAUGUGUAUUUGUAUAGAGGGAUGGAUACCACAACUGCCCAAGCUGAUAAGGGACAGUCUUUCUUGGGGUUGAUGAUAUUUUGCUUUGAAUAAAGUGAUGGAGAGGUAAAGCUGGAAGGGAAAGCAAUAAGAUCACAAGGAGGACACUCAAUUUUUCCCUCCGGGUCAUUUAAAAAGGAUGUUUCUAUUUGAAUAUGCUGUGGUAGAUUUAACAUCUCUUCACUGCUAAGCACUCUUCUUACAGAGAAGAUGAUGGAUUUAUUUCAUCAACAGCAGAGAAUGGCAAAUGGUUGAAGCCCUGUCCUUUAUCAUCUUUUCACAUUAUUGAUAUUCCAGUAGGAGUUGGAGUCUUUCCUUUCAGACCUUAACAAAUCAAGAUGGCAAUGUUCCUUAAUGUUCCUGUGCAUCUACUGCUGAGCAGUACCAAAGACUUGCUGUAUUUCUCCCCAUGCCAUUGGCCCAUUUCAAACUGGUCCAUUUCAAUAUGAUACAAAAUAAGGCCACAUACAUAUAUAUCAAGUAGUUAUUUUCCUGUAACCACAAGUGCUUUCUGAAAUUUUUCUCCCUCCUUUCUGCAGUUACUUCUCCCAGUUCAUUCUCUGCAUAAUGUUGAUAUUGUAUGUUCAGGCGCUGAGCUGCUCUGUGCUCUGAGUUACAACCUGAAUUCUACCUGUAGACUUGUUACCAUUCUUCGUGACUUUUUAGUACACAGUCUCCUUCUAGAUAAUAGGACCAGUUGAUAGGAGAACAAUUUAACUAUUGGUGGGGUUGACAAGUGAAUGUGGUGCUGGAGUGUACGUAGAAGGAAAACAGUGUGUAUUGAAAUGAUGUGCAAUCAGAAUAUGGUUCUGGUGAUGGUAAGAUGUGUGAUUAGGUGGCAGUGACAACGUGUGCUCUAUGCUUCUCAUUUUCUGUCAGCUUUGUUGCUUCACAAAUCCCACAAGUGUUUCACAACAAAGUACUUUAUGUAUUAGUAUAACUUGGGCAGGAUUUUUUUUUUUUUUUUUAAGAGCUCACUGUUGUCCUAGCAAUGUUUGAUUUCAGGCCAGGGAUGAAUGCUUUUGAAAAUCCCACUCUGAACGUAUAUGGCUGUCCUCUAUUACAUGGAUGUCAAAUUUUCCACUUCUUAUAUCCAAAGGCUAAAGUUUACUCAAAGCAAAACAGCAAGGAUCACGUUGCACUCAUCAUAAUAGCUUACAACGUGCAACCAAUAAGUAGGUCACUUAUCAGGAUGGGAUACUGUAUAAGAAGCGUGUUUGCCACGAGAGACUUAAGAGUGAGUCCCCUCUGGUAUGUAUAAUAGUCUUGUCAAUCUGAUCCAGUUCCCACAGAUGUUUAAACUAGACCUUGGUUUAAAUGGAGACGGAUCAAGGGCUAUACAACAUAUAUGAAAUAUGAAUGUGUCUUUUUCCACAAGGGCUUACUGAAGUAACUGCAGAUGUCACAGGAGGCCAAAAUUGAUUGUGUUAGUUCACUUUCAGUCUCCAUGAGCCAUUUGAAUGAUCCAGGCAUAUUCUUCCAGAAAAUGCAGGUUAGGCAGGGGAAGGGAAUAACACACAUGGCAAUGUUAGCGUGGGACAAUGAUGAACUGUUCAAGACUUGCAGUUGACCUAAUUCUGACCUUUCAGUGACUAAAGAGGUAUGAACGUUUCUUUUACAUUUCUAUCUUCGUUCUCAGCUUGCCUUUGCAAAGCAGCUCAAAGUUAUGGGGAAGUUAAAGACACAAUCUCCAGCUAAAGCAAAGAAAUACUGAAAAUCUUGCUGGAGAGGCUGUAAUUUGGGCUACUGCCUGCUGACUGCUUUUGAUAAUGGAGCACGUGAUUUCCAACAGCCCUGGUUUUGGAAAGGAGUCGU